UGCCUGGCUAAUUUUGUAUUUUUAGUAGAGAUGGGGUUUCUCCAUGUGUACAGGCCUGUGCAAGUAUUUGAGUAACCUGUUUUCAACUCUUUUGGGCAUGUGACUAAAAGUGGGAUUGCUGGGUCAUAUGAUAAUUCUAUGUUUAAUUUUUUGAGGAACUGCCAAACCAAAAGGUCCUUUUCAAAAGUGAAGAAAAUCUUCUGAAAAGCAUCCCCGGAAGACUUCCUCGACACCUUACUGGCCAGAAUGAUGUCACUUCUCCAUGCCUACAGCGUGGUCUUGGCAAGGAGAGUGAUAUUACCAAGACUGGCUUAAACUGAUCAAGACUCAGUUUCUGUACUGGAUUGGCACCCAGUCACCUCUGAAUGACACUGUCGCUUGGAGGAGGGUCAUUUCUAGAAGGUGGUGACACAGCUAGGUGAGUUCUCUGUCGACCACCCCCUCCCCCAACAUUAUUAGAGCAAUUUGUGUUUCAUUCAAGGGCGUAAUCUAGUCUGUUCCAGCAGCCAGGCAGCCUUCCCUUUAGGGGUUGUGUAGCUGUCUUUGUUCAUUGGUGUGUUUAUUCUGCAAACAUCUGUCUUAAUAAAGAAGUGUGGGAACAAGAGUCAUGACCAACAGCAAGAGGAUAAAGGCUGUGUGAAGUGGAAGCUCAAGAAAUAUCGGAGGAGGUGUCUGGCACAAUGGUGCAUGCCUAUAAUACCAGCACUUUGGGAGGCUGAGGCAGGAGGAUCACUUGGAUCAGGAGGUCAGGAGUUGGAGACCAGCCUGGGCAACAUGGUGGCGUGUGCCUGUAAUCCCAGCUACUC
rnacentral:lncRNA from 1 species